rnacentral:rRNA from 1 species
UUAAAAAUUACAAAUAAUCUAAUGGAUACUUACAUAUAAUUAAGUAAGAAUUCGAUGGGCUAUAGCCAAGCGGUAAGGCAACGGACUUUGACUCCGUCAUGCGCUGGUUCGAAUCCAGCUAGCCCAGCCAUUUUUGCGGAAGUAGUUCAGUGGUAGAAUACAACCUUGCCAAGGUUGGGGUCGCGGGUUCGAAUCCCGUCUUCCGCUCCAAUAAAAUUUAAUAUGGCGGCAUAGCCAAGUGGUAAGGCAGAGGUCUGCAAAACCUUUAUCACCGGUUCAAAUCCGGUUGCCGCCUUUUCUUUUGUGCCGAUGUGGCGGAAUUGGCAGACGCGCACGACUCAAAAUCGUGUUCCUUCGGGAGUGUCGGUUCGACCCCGACCAUCGGUAUCAUGAACGGCGUAAUAAAAGACUCUACACCAAAUGUGUAGAGUCUUUUUAUGUUUUCAUCAUACUAUAAAAUAAGCAAAAAUGGUGUGUUGGUGAAAUGGUUAUAAAUGAUUAAGGUAAACUUAUUCAUUUAGUACAUGCGAUACAGUUGGGGAAAGCUACAAAACAAUAAAGGGAUAAAUUUUUAUCCCUUUAUAUAAUUUCAUUAUUUUAUAGAGAAUUUCUCCAACCUGGUGACAUGAAGUUAAAUCCGACGCCACCAGUAGAUAUUAGUACAUGAUCAGCUGUUAAUUUCGUAAUUUCUAAGAACUUCUUUUCAAACUCUUCUCUGUUGUAUUUGUACAUAGUUGAGUGGCAUGACCACAUGUGCGUUGAAGUACUCAACCAGUCUCCUAAUUCCUUUAAUUCAGGAAACGACUCAAAUCGAAUUGGUUCAUCUAAUUUCAUGAAUCUCACUUGAUAGAUAGUUGGGUUUAACUUCUCUCCUAUUCCUUUAAAAGCAUGUGAUUUUUUGUCUUUGGAAUGUGUCAUAAUUCACCCUCCACCUUUUCUUCAAAUUUUUUCCUAUUUUUAUUAUACAACAAUAGAAAACAAUUAUGGGAAUAAUAUGGAAAUCUUUAUUGGCAAUAUAAAAAGACUGUAACAGAAAUGUUAGAGUCUUUUUGUUAAAUUAUACUAUGUGCUUCUAAAAUUCGUAAUAAACGUAGGAAUUCAUGUAUAAUAUAACUUGUCGAAAGAACAAAAUGAUAGUGAUUUAUAUUAUGUCUGUAAUAUGAAUCAAAAAUGAACUUUUUAUAUUUCUUUUAAAAAUGUGUUGAACACACAUUAUAUUUCAUAUUAAUAUUUUUAUGUAGAUUUAAAACGGGAAAGAGAGUGGAAAGUAUGGGCCGUAAAUGGAACAAUAUUAAAGACAAAAAAGCAUCAAAAGAUGCAAAUACAAGCCGUAUAUACGCGAAAUUUGGGCGUGAAAUUUAUGUGGCAGCAAAACAAGGCGAGCCAGAUCCAGAAUCAAACCAAGCACUAAGAGUUGUAUUAGAGCGUGCGAAAACAUACAAUGUUCCAAGAACAAUUAUUGAUCGUGCAGUUGAAAAAGCAAAAGGCGGUUCAGAAGAAAAUUAUGACGAGCUUCGUUAUGAAGGAUUCGGACCAAAUGGAGCUAUGGUUAUUGUAGAUACACUUACAAAUAACGUAAACCGUACUGCAGCAGAUGUACGAGCUGCAUUUAGCAAAAACAGUGGUAAUAUGGGUGUGAACGGUUCUGUAGCUUACAUGUUUGAUGCGACAGCUGUUAUCGGCCUUGAAGGUAAAACAUCAGAUGAAGUUCUUGAAAUUUUAAUGGAAGCAGAUGUAGAUGCACGUGACAUUCUAGAAGAAGAAGAUUCUGUUAUCGUGUAUGCUGAACCAGAUCAAUUUCAUGCAGUACAAUCUGCACUUAAAGGUGCUGGCGUUGAGGAGUUUACAGUUGCAGAAUUAACAAUGCUUGCACAAAGUGAUGUAACACUUCCUGAAGAUGCUCAAGCACAAUUUGAGAAAAUGGUUGAUGCAUUAGAAGAUUUAGAAGAUGUUCAACAAGUUUAUCACAACGUAGACUUAGGAGAGUAAUACGAUAGAUGACCCUUUUCGCUUAGCGGAUAGGGUCUUUUUUAUGAAGUUAAUUAAGGUGAUGAAGUAUUAAAGGUAUUUUGUUGUAGGUAGGGAAUAUGAUUAUAGGGAUAUAUAAAAUAUUCAUUAUCUCUAGGAGGCUUAAUAUGGAACAUAAGACACCAAAGCAUAUCGUUGCUGUAGCCGGUUAUUUAACAAAUGGAAAAAAUGAAGUGUUAUUAACAAAAGUGCACUGGCGAGCUGAUACGUGGGAGUUGCCAGGAGGACAGGUAGAAGAAGGCGAAGCGCUCGAUCAAGCUGUCUGUAGGGAAAUAAAAGAGGAAACAGGGUUAACGGUGAAGCCUAUCGGAAUUACAGGCGUUUAUUAUAAUACUUCUAUGCAUAUUCUAGCUGUUGUUUUUAAAGUAGCAUAUAUAAGUGGUGAAAUAAAAAUUCAACCUGAAGAAAUACAAGAGGCUAAAUUUGUUGAUUUAAAUGAAGAGAACAUAGAUGAGUAUAUAACGCGUCCUCAUAUGAAAUCCAGAACGCUUGAUGCAAUGAGAGCAACACAUUUUAUUCCGUAUGAAACGUGGGAAGUACAGCCGUAUAAUUUAAUAGGAAGAUUGUAAAGAAAAGAGUAGNGGGUGAUGGCGUGCCUUUUGUAGAAUGAACCGGCGAGUUACGAUCCCGUGCGAGGUUAAGCUGAAGAGGCGGAGCCGCAGCGAAAGCGAGUCUGAAUAGGGCGUUUAGUACGUGGUCGUAGACCCGAAACCAGGUGAUCUACCCAUGUCCAGGGUGAAGUUCAGGUAACACUGAAUGGAGGCCCGAACCCACGCACGUUGAAAAGUGCGGGGAUGAGGUGUGGGUAGCGGAGAAAUUCCAAUCGAACCUGGAGAUAGCUGGUUCUCCCCGAAAUAGCUUUAGGGCUAGCCUUAAGUGUAAGAGUCUUGGAGGUAGAGCACUGAUUGGACUAGGGGUCCUCAUCGGAUUACCGAAUUCAGUCAAACUCCGAAUGCCAAUGACUUAUCCUUAGGAGUCAGACUGCGAGUGAUAAGAUCCGUAGUCAAAAGGGAAACAGCCCAGACCGCCAGCUAAGGUCCCAAAGUGUGUAUUAAGUGGAAAAGGAUGUGGAGUUGCUUAGACAACUAGGAUGUUGGCUUAGAAGCAGCCACCAUUUAAAGAGUGCGUAAUAGCUCACUAGUCGAGUGACUCUGCGCCGAAAAUGUACCGGGGCUAAAUACACCACCGAAGCUGCGGAUUGAUACCAAUGGUAUCAGUGGUAGGGGAGCGUUCUAAGGACAGUGAAGUCAGACCGGAAGGACUGGUGGAGUGCUUAGAAGUGAGAAUGCCGGUAUGAGUAGCGAAAGACGGGUGAGAAUCCCGUCCACCGAAUGCCUAAGGUUUCCUGAGGAAGGCUCGUCCGCUCAGGGUUAGUCAGGACCUAAGCCGAGGCCGACAGGCGUAGGCGAUGGACAACAGGUUGAUAUUCCUGUACCACCUCUUUAUCGUUUGAGCAAUGGAGGGACGCAGAAGGAUAGAAGAAGCGUGCGAUUGGUUGUGCACGUCCAAGCAGUUAGGCUGAUAAGUAGGCAAAUCCGCUUAUCGUAAAGGCUGAGCUGUGAUGGGGAAGCUCCUUAUGGAGCGAAGUCUUUGAUUCCCCGCUGCCAAGAAAAGCUUCUAGCGAGAUAAAAGGUGCCUGUACCGCAAACCGACACAGGUAGGCGAGGAGAGAAUCCUAAGGUGUGCGAGAGAACUCUGGUUAAGGAACUCGGCAAAAUGACCCCGUAACUUCGGGAGAAGGGGUGCUUUCUUAACGGAAAGCCGCAGUGAAUAGGCCCAAGCGACUGUUUAGCAAAAACACAGCUCUCUGCGAAGCCGUAAGGCGAAGUAUAGGGGGUGACACCUGCCCGGUGCUGGAAGGUUAAGGAGAGGGGUUAGCGUAAGCGAAGCUCUGAACUGAAGCCCCAGUAAACGGCGGCCGUAACUAUAACGGUCCUAAGGUAGCGAAAUUCCUUGUCGGGUAAGUUCCGACCCGCACGAAAGGUGUAACGAUUUGGGCACUGUCUCAACCAGAGACUCGGUGAAAUUAUAGUACCUGUGAAGAUGCAGGUUACCCGCGACAGGACGGAAAGACCCCGUGGAGCUUUACUGUAGCCUGAUAUUGAAUUUUGGUACAGUUUGUACAGGAUAGGCGGGAGCCAUUGAAACCGGAGCGCUAGCUUCGGUGGAGGCGCUGGUGGGAUACCGCCCUGACUGUAUUGAAAUUCUAACCUACGGGUCUUAUCGACCCGGGAGACAGUGUCAGGUGGGCAGUUUGACUGGGGCGGUCGCCUCCUAAAGUGUAACGGAGGCGCCCAAAGGUUCCCUCAGAAUGGUUGGAAAUCAUUCGUAGAGUGCAAAGGCAUAAGGGAGCUUGACUGCGAGACCUACAAGUCGAGCAGGGACGAAAGUCGGGCUUAGUGAUCCGGUGGUUCCGCAUGGAAGGGCCAUCGCUCAACGGAUAAAAGCUACCCCGGGGAUAACAGGCUUAUCUCCCCCAAGAGUCCACAUCGACGGGGAGGUUUGGCACCUCGAUGUCGGCUCAUCGCAUCCUGGGGCUGUAGUCGGUCCCAAGGGUUGGGCUGUUCGCCCAUUAAAGCGGUACGCGAGCUGGGUUCAGAACGUCGUGAGACAGUUCGGUCCCUAUCCGUCGUGGGCGUAGGAAAUUUGAGAGGAGCUGUCCUUAGUACGAGAGGACCGGGAUGGACGCACCGCUGGUGUACCAGUUGUUCUGCCAAGGGCAUAGCUGGGUAGCUAUGUGCGGAAGGGAUAAGUGCUGAAAGCAUCUAAGCAUGAAGCCCCCCUCAAGAUGAGAUUUCCCAUAGCGUAAGCUAGUAAGAUCCCUGAAAGAUGAUCAGGUUGAUAGGUUCGAGGUGGAAGCAUGGUGACAUGUGGAGCUGACGAAUACUAAUAGAUCGAGGACUUAACCAU